rnacentral:rRNA from 1 species
UGCCAGCAGCCGCGGUAAUACGGGGGGAGCAAGCGUUGUUCGGAUUUACUGGGCGUAAAGGGCGCGUAGGCGGCCACCGCAAGUCGACUGUGAAAUCUCCGGGCUUAACUCGGAAAGGUCAGCCGAUACUGCGGGGCUAGAGUGCAGAAGGGGCAACUGGAAUUCUCGGUGUAGCGGUGAAAUGCGUAGAUAUCGAGAGGAACACCUGCGGCGAAGGCGGGUUGCUGGGCUGACACUGACGCUGAGGCGCGAAAGCUAGGGGAGCGAACGGGAUUAGAUACCCCGGUAGUCCUAGCCUUAAACGAUGAAUGCUUGGUGUCUGGGGUUUUAUAGUCCCCGGGUGCCGUCGCUAACGCUUUAAGCAUUCCGCCUGGGGAGUACGGUCGCAAGACUAAACUCAAAGAAUGACGG